GCAUUGAAACACCAGUUCCUGUAUGUUCACUGAAGUUAAGCAACAUCAAGCCUGGUCAGUACCUAGAUGGGUGACUGCUUGGGAAUACCAGAUUUUGUA